AUUGAACGCUGGCGGCAUGCCUUACACAUGCAAGUCGAACGGCAGCAUGAUCUAGCUUGCUAGAUUGAUGGCGAGUGGCGAACGGGUGAGUAAUACAUCGGAACGUGCCCUGUAGUGGGGGAUAACUAGUCGAAAGAUUAGCUAAUACCGCAUACGACCUGAGGGUGAAAGUGGGGGACCGCAAGGCCUCAUGCUAUAGGAGCGGCCGAUGUCUGAUUAGCUAGUUGGUGAGGUAAAGGCUCACCAAGGCGACGAUCAGUAGCUGGUCUGAGAGGACGAUCUGCCACACUGGGACUGAGACACGGCCCAGACUCCUACGGGAGGCAGCAGUGGGGAAUUUUGGACAAUGGGCGAAAGCCUGAUCCAGCAAUGCCGCGUGUGUGAAGAAGGCCUUCGGGUUGUAAAGCACUUUUGUCCGGAAAGAAAUGGCUCUGGUUAAUACCUGGGGUCGAUGACGGUACCGGAAGAAUAAGGACCGGCUAACUACGUG
rnacentral:rRNA from 1 species